CAGGUGGGCACCAUUGCCAUUAUAAGAAAAUAAAGGAGGCUUUAAUGUGGCUGGUAGAACAGUGUCUUUGGCAAGCAUUAGGCAGUGGAUCACAGACCACAACUACUGCCCCUACAUUCCUUGAAUGUCUCCAUACAUUGUGUUAGUGAGGCAGAAGUCGUUCUUCAUUCCAGUCUUCAUUCCAGCUGCUCAAAUAACCUCCUUUAUUAACAUGAACUUUGCUGUUAGACUGUACUUCUCACCAUUAAUGUAGUGUCUCCCCCCCCCAUUAUUACUGUGCUGGGGAGAAGCUAAACUCAGAUCUGCAAGGCCAUUAAACCAUGAAGACUGAUCAAUGAACUCAGGACUGACCACCCUCCACUUUCACUUCAGAAGCACAAGGAAUUGUUUUGUUUUAAAGAAUCUUAUUUACAAAUGGAUCAUUUUACAGGAAUACAGUUCAAUGUGGCCUUACAGAGAAUAAAUAAAGAAAAAACUAUA